CCUACGGGAGGCAGCAGUGAGGAAUAUUGGUCAAUGGCCGCAGGGCUGAACCAGCCAAGUCGCGUGAGGGAUGACGGUCCUAUGGAUUGUAAACCUCUUUUGUCAGGGAGCAAAGGGCGCCACGUGUGGCGCUUUGCGAGUACCUGAAGAAAAAGCAUCGGCUAACUCCGUGCCAGCAGCCGCGGUAAUACGGAGGAUGCGAUCGUUAUCCGGAUUUAUUGGGGUUAAAGGGUGCGCAGGCGGAAUGUCAAGUCAGCGGUAAAAUUGCGGGGCUCAACCCCGUCGUGCCGUUGAAACUGGCGUUCUUGAGUGAGCGAGAAGUAUGCGGAAUGCGUGGUGUAGCGGUGAAAUGCAUAGAUAUCACGCAGAACUCCGAUUGCGAAGGCAGCAUACCGGCGCUCAACUGACGCUCAUGCACGAAAGCGUGGGUAUCGAACAGGAUUAGAUACCCCAGUAGUC
rnacentral:rRNA from 1 species